UACGUAGGGUGCAAGCGUUAAUCGGAAUUACUGGGCGUAAAGCGUGCGCAGGCGGUGAUGUAAGACAGAUGUGAAAUCCCCGGGCUCAACCUGGGAACUGCAUUUGUGACUGCAUCGCUGGAGUACGGCAGAGGGGGAUGGAAUUCCGCGUGUAGCAGUGAAAUGCGUAGAUAUGCGGAGGAACACCGAUGGCGAAGGCAAUCCCCUGGGCCUGUACUGACGCUCCAUGCACGAGAGCGUGGGGAGCAAACAGG
rnacentral:rRNA from 1 species